rnacentral:lncRNA from 1 species
UUUUUUUUUUUUUUUUUUUUUUUUGAGAAGAGCCAGCCUUUUGAGAGAGCAUAUGACUCUUCCUGGACUACAACAGCUUCUUGUGUGAAUCACAGCCCGGCUUUUGCCAGUUAGUCUGAGUAGAUAACUACCCACCCCCACUCCCCCAAGCUGAUAAUUAUUACCCUGGUUUAUCCUCUGUCUCAUUUCCCCUCUCAAGCUGUUAGAGAAUGAAUACUGAAUACUGUGGUGCACUGCUCCAUGGAUAUAAAUGUAACAGCAGUAAUAUUUACAACCAAUGUCUAAUUGGCUGUAGCUUGCUUUCAGUGUUCAGUCUAAACCAUAGGACUAUAUAUUUGUCUUAGCAUAAUGCCGAACAUGCAAGUCUGCUUAAACUAUAGUCUUAAGAUUUGUGUGUUUUGGGUUUCCUCUACUUCCUCUAUUUCCUGUCUUUUUUGGGUUAUAGGUCAGAUGGGUUCUACUUUUUAUUCCCAUUUCAGACUGUGGAGAGCUUCUAAAAAUACCAGUGUCCAUCCCUGCCCCUAGGAUCUAGUUAAUUUUUAAAAGCUCUCUGUGUUUCAAAUUUGCAUGUGUUUCUGUAUGUUUGCAGUAUCUCCGUGUGUUUUCAAAUCUUCUGAUGGAGCACUUCGUGUACUUUAACCCUUGGUCUUUCCAUUGCCUGUCCCAUUUUUAAAUUCCCUUUUUAGUCUUAAUAGCUGCUUGAGUUAGGACCUCUGGAAGCAAAAGUGGGAUAGGAUGCUGACGGGGAAUUGUAGGCUUGAUGGAAGAGGAUGUUUCUAUAUUAAAUGUCAUGGCAGAUCCAGUUCUAGGCAUACCUUUAAAAUGUAUACACAGGCUGGGCGUGGUAGCUCACUCCUGUAAUCCCAGCAGUUUGGGAGGCCCAGGCAGGCGGAUCACUUGAGGUAGGGAGUUCGAGAACAGCCUGGCCAACAUGGUGAAACCCUGUCUCUACUAAAAAUACAAAGAUUAGCUGGACAUGAUGGUGGGUGCCUGUAGUCCCAGCUGCUUGGGAGGCUGAGGCCGGACAAUCUCCUGAAGCUGGGAGGCGGAGGUUGCAGUUAGAUGAACUGACACACCACUGCACUCCAGCCUGGGAGACAGGGUGACCAAAAAAAAAAAAAGAAAAAA